rnacentral:lncRNA from 1 species
UUGACCAAAUAAGACCUCUAACCUCACCCAAUCUGUCCACAAGGUAAUCCAACAAGAUUAUCGUCCGAGGCACGAAAUCACGAAGCAAUAACGCUAGAAUAAUCUCCACGAUGUAAGUAUCGUUAUAUAGCCUCUCUUUUUCUUUGUAAUUUGAGUUUUGGAAGGUAUUUUAAAGUUAGUAGAAUGCCUAAUUUCUGGUUUCAAGAUCGUAAAUAUCAAGUAAGAUUGAUUAAUUCAUUUUAUAAUCGGUAGAACUCACCGGACGGUAAUCGGAAGUCGUGAGUUCGAGUUAUUUGAUUUGUAAUAGACUUUUAUGGGCUAUUUCGUGUAAUUUUUGGGUUGUAUAUUUUUAUGCUAUUUAAU